AUUGAACGCUGGCGGCAGGCCUAACACGUGCAAGUCGAGCGGAUGAAGGGAGCUUGCUCCUGGAUUCAGCGGCGGACGGGUGAGUAAUGCCUAGGAAUCUGCCUGGUAGUGGGGGAUAACGUCCGGAAACGGGCGCUAAUACCGCAUACGUCCUGAGGGAGAAAGUGGGGGAUCUUCGGACCUCGCGCUAUCAGAUGAGCCUAGGUCGGAUUAGCUAGUUGGUGGGGUAAAGGCCUACCAAGGCGACGAUCCGUAACUGGUCUGAGAGGAUGAUCAGUCACACUGGAACUGAGACACGGUCCAGACUCCUACGGGAGGCAGCAGUGGGGAAUAUUGGACAAUGGGCGAAAGCCUGAUCCAGCCAUGCCGCGUGUGUGAAGAAGGUCUUCGGAUUGUAAAGCACUUUAAGUUGGGAGGAAGGGCAGUAAGUUAAUACCUUGCUGUUUUGACGUUACCAACAGAAUAAGCACCGGCUAACUUCGUG
rnacentral:rRNA from 1 species